rnacentral:rRNA from 1 species
AGUGGGGAAUAUUGCACAAUGGGCGCAAGCCUGAUGCAGCCAUGCCGCGUGUGUGAAGAAGGCCUUCGGGUUGUAAAGCACUUUCAGUCGUGAGGAAGGUGGUGUCGUUAAUAGCGGCAUCAUUUGACGUUAGCGACAGAAGAAGCACCGGCUAACUCCGUGCCAGCAGCCGCGGUAAUACGGAGGGUGCGAGCGUUAAUCGGAAUUACUGGGCGUAAAGCGCAUGCAGGUGGUUAGUUAAGUCAGAUGUGAAAGCCCGGGGCUCAACCUCGGAACUGCAUUUGAAACUGGCUGACUAGAGUACUGUAGAGGGGGGUAGAAUUUCAGGUGUAGCGGUGAAAUGCGUAGAGAUCUGAAGGAAUACCGGUGGCGAAGGCGGCCCCCUGGACAGAUACUGACACUCAGAUGCGAAAGCGUGGGGAGCAAA